rnacentral:lncRNA from 1 species
AACGGCGAGUUGGCGCGGCUCGGUAAGUUUGCCAAGUGAGGGGAAGCGAUGGCGAGGUGGAUAGCGACGCGAAUGAGAUGGCUAGUCUGUUGGGUGCCGAUUUCUUUUUUUCUUUUUUUACCUAUCCAACCAGGUUUGGCUAACCUCCUGCGGAUGCUCUAAUAACGUGGUUUUCGUUACCCGAGCUCCGCUAGCUCUCGUAUAGAUAUGAUAUAUCUUAUUUAUCAUAUUUGACACUCUAUAUAUACUUAGUGUCCAUUUGGCUCACUCAGCUC